AGUGGACUCAUUCCUGAAGGAUCCAGAAUGUGAAGAACCUGCUCCAGAAAAGCAGACGUCUCUUCCACUUGAUAUUCUUGAAUUUUCCCAAACACGACGCGAGAACUUUGUCACAAGCCGGAGGCUGAUGAGGGCAAAUUUGCACAUUCUACAUCCCAUAAUGCAAACUGUUUUGGAAAUUGGACACACAACAUUUUCUUCAAUGUCCUUGGUGGAUCUGACAGGAUACAGGGCUUUGGGACCCGUUG